rnacentral:rRNA from 1 species
UACGUAGGGGGCAAGCGUUGUCCGGAUUUACUGGGCGUAAAGGGCGCGUAGGCGGCCUGCUAAGUCGGACGUGAAAUCCCUCGGCUCAACCGAGGAACUGCGUCCGAUACUGGUGGGCUUGAAUCCGGGAGAGGGAUGUGGAAUUCCAGGUGUAGCGGUGAAAUGCGUAGAUAUCUGGAGGAACACCGGUGGCGAAGGCGGCAUCCUGGACCGGUAUUGACGCUGAGGCGCGAAAGCUAGGGGAGCAAACGGG